CUCGGCGGUGGCGUGGGUGUCCUGGAAGCCACCCGGGCCGGUGCACGCGUUGGCGCCGCCGGAGUUCAGGAUCACCGCGCGAAGGC
rnacentral:tRNA from 1 species